UACUUUCUCAAGAGCCUUGGAUUUGCUGCAGAAGCAAGGAAUGGUGAAGGAAGGAGAAGAAGUAGCACUUGUACAAAGUGGUAGGCAACCCAUAUGGAGGUUCCAAUCCACACACAAUAUCCAGGUUAGGAAAGUGUAAACCAAAAGAAUGGAGAGUGGCCACAAAUAAUGUUUCAAGACGCAGUAGUAGUACGUUUAGCUUCACAAGAGUCAAGAGCAUCAUCUUUUUAUUAUUGCCUUUUAGUGGGUUGCUGCCAGUAUUUGUUUCUUAGUUGCCUUGUUCCCAUCCUAUGUUUCAUAUUCUCUUCUGAAUGUUAUUGGUUUUAUUUAUUUCCUCUGUAAUUUUGUUUUGUUUCUAAAUGUUAUUGAAAUUUUGGUUUAGCAAUUGAAUCCAGAAAUACGCUUUCAGCAUCA